AAAUGAAUAGACGGGGGCCCGCACAAGCGGAGGAACAUGUGGUUUAAUUCGAUGAUACGCGAGGAACCUUACCCGGGCUUGAAAGUUAGUGACGGACAUGGAAACAUGUCUUCCCUUCGGGGCACGAAACUAGGUGCUGCAUGGUUGUCGUCAGCUCGUGCCGUGAGGUGUCGGGUUAAGUCCCAUAACGAGCGCAACCCCUGCUAUCAGUUACCAGCGAGUUAAGUCGGGGACUCUGAUAGGACUGCCGGUGUAAGCCGAGAGGAAGGUGGGGAUGACGUCAAAUCAGCACGGCCCUUACGUCCGGGGCGACACACGUGUUACAAUGGUAGGUACAGAGGGCAGCUACUCAGCGAUGAGGUGCAAAUCUCGAAAGCCUAUCUCAGUUCGGAUUGGAGGCUGAAACUCGCCUCCAUGAAGUUGGAUUCGCUAGUAAUCGCGCAUCAGCCAUGGCGCGGUGAAUACGUUCCCGGGCCUUGUACACACCGCCCGU
rnacentral:rRNA from 1 species